AUUGAACGCUGGCGGCAGGCCUAACACAUGCAAGUCGAACGAGUGGCGGACGGGUAAGUAAUGUCUGGGCAACUGCCUGAUGGCGGGGGAUAACUACUGGCAACGGUAGCUGAUACCGCAUACCAUCAGAGCUGCCCAGAUAGGAUUAGCUAGUUGGUGGGGUAACGGCUAACCAAGGAGACGAUCCCUAGCUGGUCUUAGAGGAUGACCAGCAACACUGGAACUGAGAAACGGUCCAGACUCCUACGGGAGGCAGCAGUGGGGAAUAUUGCACAAUGGGCGCAAGCCUGAUGCAGCCAUGCCGCGUGUAUGAAGAAGGCCUUCGGGUUGUAAAGUACUUUCAGCGGGGAGGCGUUACCCGCAGAAGAAGCACCGGCUAACUCCGUGCCAGCAGCCGCGGUAAUUC
rnacentral:rRNA from 1 species